GUCUUUUUGUAUUUAAUAUAAAGUAUAACCUGCCCAUUGAAAUUGUUUAAAAGGCUGCGGUAUCUUAACCGUACAAAGGUAGCAUAAUCAUUAGUUUUUUAAUUGAGAACUCGUAUGAAUGGUUGAAUGAGAAAUAAACUUUUUUAAAUAAAGAAUUGAAUUUUACAUUUUAAUUAAAAGGUUAAAAUGAAUUUAAAAGACGAGAAGACCCUAUAGAGUUUAAUAAUUUAUUGAAAUUUUUUAAAAAAAAAUUAGUAGAAAUUUAUUUAAAUAAAUUAUUUUAUUGGGGUGAUAUUAAAAUUUUAUAAACUUUUAUUUUUUUUUACAUUAAUAUAUGAUUGAAUGAUCCAUUAUUAAUGAUUAAAAGUUUAAAUUACCUUAGGGAUAACAGCGUAAUUUUUUUUUUAAGUUCAUAUUAAUAAAAAAUUUUGCGACCUCGAUGUUGGAUUAAGAUUUAAUUUUAGGUGCAGAAGUUUAAAAUU
rnacentral:rRNA from 1 species